GCUUAGGCCGGCCACACCCACAAUGGUGAUCAUGAUCGACGACGAUGGUGGCUCUAGACCAUAGCAGUCUGAGCACAGCUGCAUCCAGCGACAGUUGCCUACUCAUUGGAAGGAAAAGAAGAAGAAAAUAGGGCAGGUCCUGUCCUCCAAAAGUCCAACGAAUCGCCAGUCAAUGCUAGACGAUAAGCAAGGCUUGGGAUAGGGGAAGGGAA
rnacentral:lncRNA from 1 species